rnacentral:rRNA from 1 species
CGGCCCUGCCCUCACGGGCGGAGCGCCCGCCGGAGGAUACCAAACUCUAUUUUAACGACGUUUCUUCUGAGUGGCACAAGCAAAUAAUUAAAACUUUCAACAACGGAUCUCUUGGUUCUGGCAUCGAUGAAGAACGCAGCGAAAUGCGAUAAGUAAUGUGAAUUGCAGAAUUCAGUGAAUCAUCGAAUCUUUGAACGCACAUUGCGCCCGCCAGCAUUCUGGCGGGCAUGCCUGUUCGAGCGUCAUUUCAACCCUCAAGCUCUGCUUGGUGUUGGGGCCCUACGGUUGACGUAGGCCCCUUAAAGGUAGUGGCGGACCCUCUCGGAGCCUCCUUUGCGUAGUAACUAACGUCUCGCACUGGGAUUCGGAGGGACUCUUGCCGUAAAACCCCCAAAUUUUUAAAGGUUGACCUCGGAUCAGGUAGGAAUACCCGCUGAACUUAAGCAUAU